UCAAGCCGGUGAUGAAAAUAGUUAUCCCUGUCUGAAAUCAUGUGUGGAGUCAUGGUAACCUGAGGCUUGA
ensembl:snoRNA SNORD1A small nucleolar RNA, C/D box 1A